rnacentral:rRNA from 1 species
UGGGGAAUUUUGGACAAUGGACGCAAGUCUGAUCCAGCCAUGCCGCGUGCGGGAAGAAGGCCUUCGGGUUGUAAACCGCUUUUGUCAGGGAAGAAACGAGUUUCUCUAAUACAGAGACUUAAUGACGGUACCUGAAGAAUAAGCACCGGCUAACUACGUGCCAGCAGCCGCGGUAAUACGUAGGGUGCGAGCGUUAAUCGGAAUUACUGGGCGUAAAGCGUGCGCAGGCGGUUAUAUAAGACAGAUGUGAAAUCCCCGGGCUCAACCUGGGAACUGCCUUUGUGACUGCAUAGCUAGAGUACGGUAGAGGGGGAUGGAAUUCCGCGUGUAGCAGUGAAAUGCGUAGAUAUGCGGAGGAACACCGAUGGCGAAGGCAAUCCCCUAGACCUGUACUGACGCUCAUGCACGAAAGCGUGGGGAGCAAACA